CGUAUCAUUGUGCCUUAUCCGCAAAAGGCGGGUAGGGCGAUAAGUCCGAAAGAGGGAUGAUAUGAC
rnacentral:ncRNA from 17 species